AUCUUCGGGGUCGGGUGAAAUUCCCAACCGGCGGUAUAGUCCGCGACCCGCGCAAGCGGCUGAACCGGUGACUUUUUAUAUGGAGAAUUCCGGUACCGACAGUAAAGUCUGGAUGAGAGAAGAA
rnacentral:ncRNA from 1 species